rnacentral:rRNA from 1 species
CAGCAGUGGGGAAUAUUGGACAAUGGGCGCAAGCCUGAUCCAGCCAUACCGCGUGGGUGAAGAAGGCCUUCGGGUUGUAAAGCCCUUUUGUUGGGAAAGAAAUCCAGCUGGCUAAUACCCGGUUGGGAUGACGGUACCCAAAGAAUAAGCACCGGGUAAAUUCGUGCCAGCAGCCGCGGUAAUACGAAGGGUGCAAGCGUUACUUGGAAUUACUGGGCGUAAAGCGUGCGUAGGUGGUCGUUUAAGUCCGUUGUGAAAGCCCUGGGCUCAACCUGGGAAAUGCAGUGGAUACUGGGCGACUAGAGUGUGGUAGAGGGUAGCGGAAUUCCUGGUGUAGCAGUGAAAUGCGUAGAGAUCAGGAGGAACAUCCAUGGCGAAGGCAGCUACCUGGACCAACACUGACACUGAGGCACGAAAGCGUGGGGAGCAAACAGGAUUAGAUACCCUGGUAGUCCACGCCCUAAACGAUGCGAACUGGAUGUUGGGUGCAAUUUGG